rnacentral:snRNA from 1 species
AUCACUUCUCGGCUUUUUGGCUAAGAUCAAGUGUAGAAAGUAUGAUAUAUAUAUAUAUAUAUAUAUAUAAAAAAAAAUUUUUUUUUUUAAUAGUGACUCACUAUGUAGUUCAGGCUGGCCUUGAACUCAGGAAAUCCUCCUGCCGAAGCCUCCCAGUAAAUUCUGGGAUUACAGGUGUGUGCCUCCAUGCCCCCCUUUCUGGGGGACCUUGC